rnacentral:rRNA from 1 species
UACGUAGGGGGCAAGCGUUGUCCGGAUUUAUUGGGCGUAAAGAGCGUGUAGGCGGCCUGGAAGGUCAGCUGUGAAACUCGAGGCUCAACCUCGAGACGUCGGUUGAAACCACCUGGCUAGAGUCCGGAAGAGGAGUGUGGAACUCCUGGUGUAGCGGUGGAAUGCGCAGAUAUCAGGAAGAACACCAACGGCGAAGGCAGCUCGCUGGGACGGUACUGACGCUGAGACGCGAAAGCGUGGGGAGCGAACAGG